rnacentral:rRNA from 1 species
UUUAUGGAGAGUUUGAUCCUGGCUCAGGAUGAACGCUGGCGGCGUGCCUAAUACAUGCAAGUCGAGCGAACAGACG